rnacentral:tRNA from 1 species
CUAGACAGGAGGGCCUC